rnacentral:rRNA from 1 species
CCUACGGGAGGCAGCAGUGGGGAAUCUUGCGCAAUGGGCGAAAGCCUGACGCAGCCAUGCCGCGUGAAUGAUGAAGGUCUUAGGAUUGUAAAAAUUCUUUCACCGGGGACGAUAAUGACGGUACCCGGAGAAGAAGCCCCGGCUAACUUCGUGCCAGCAGCCGCGGUAAUACGAAGGGGGGCUAGCGUUGCUCGGAAUUACUGGGCGUAAAGGGAGCGUAGGCGGAUAGUUUAGUCAGAGGUGAAAGCCCAGGGCUCAACCUUGGAAUUGCCUUUGAUACUGGCUAUCUUGAGUAUGGGAGAGGUUAGCGGAACUCCGAGUGUAGAGGUGAAAUUCGUAGAUAUUCGGAAGAACACCAGUGGCGAAGGCGGCUAACUGGCCCAUUACUGACGCUGAGGCUCGAAAGCGUGGGGAGCAAACAGGAUUAGAUACCCUGGUAGUCCACGCCGUAAACGAUGAGUGCUAGUUGUCGGCAUGCAUGCAUGUCGGUGACGCAGCUAACGCAUUAAGCACUCCGCCUGGGGAGUACGGUCGCAAGAUUAAAACUCAAAGGAAUUGACGG